rnacentral:rRNA from 1 species
AACGAACGCUGGCGGCAGGCCUAACACAUGCAAGUCGAGCGAAGCCUUCGGGCUUAGCGGCGGACGGGUGAGUAACGCGUGGGAACGUGCCCUUUGCUACGGAAUAGCCCCGGGAAACUGGGAGUAAUACCGUAUGUGCCCUUCGGGGAAAGAUUUAUCGGCAAAGGAUCGGCCCGCGUUGGAUUAGGUAGUUGGUGGGGUAAUGGCCUACCAAGCCGACGAUCCAUAGCUGGUCUGAGAGGAUGAUCAGCCACACUGGGACUGAGACACGGCCCAGACUCCUACGGGAGGCAGCAGUGGGGAAUCUUAGACAAUGGGGGAAACCCUGAUCUAGCCAUGCCGCGUGAUCGAUGAAGGCCUCAGGGUUGUAAAGAUCUUUCAGUGGGGAAGAUAAUGACUGUACCCACAGAAGAAGCCCCGGCUAACUCCGUGCCAGCCGCCGCUGUAACAC